UGGUGGGUCUUAGGCGGGGGGCUAGGGGUCCCCUGAACCGUAAACCCUCUAUACGACGGGCCGAAAGCUGGGGUUGAGGCGCUCGUGAACGCUGAAACCUCCACUUCCGAAGCCUUGACUACCCGUCCCUUGGGGCUGGCGGUCGCUGGGCGGCUUUCGUAGGGAAGUCGUCUCCAACGUUUACCAGGCGAACCCGGCCAGGCCCGGGAGGGAGCAACCUAAGUCUGGACGUUCAGCGCUCAAGGGGGUGCGGGUACGAGUGUAGGGUUUGGGGGUUAAGCGGAUUCUGGGCGUCGAACCCCAGUGACCCACCG
rnacentral:SRP_RNA from 1 species